UUAGUGCAUUCUAAAAUUCUAGCCGGAGGUAACCAUGUACCUUAGCCUUAUUCACUUGUUUAUUCUUAUCAUUGCCAUCCAAGCUCGGAUGCACCUUCAUUGGAUACUUCUUUGAGGAGCAACCAAUCUAGAAGGUUUGCCACUCAAUCAACCAAAAAUUUAUUAAAACAAACAAAAUUAAAAACAUAAAUAAUAAUAACUUCAAAAUGUAAAAUUGUUCAUGGGGGACAAAACACCCCAAAAGUACAAAGCCAAAAUCAAAAUACAGCAAUCCGAAAAUACAAUAGAAAUAAACAUAAAAAAUGAAAAAUACAAUAACUUAACCCUCCAAGGGCUCAGAACCUUCCUCACUACCGGCUUCAGAACCGGUAGC
rnacentral:lncRNA from 1 species